UACGAAGGGGGCUAGCGUUGUUCGGAAUCACUGGGCGUAAAGGGCGCGUAGGCGGCCGAUCAAGUCGGGGGUGAAAGCCUGUGGCUCAACCACAGAAUUGCCUUCGAUACUGUUUGGCUUGAGACCGGAAGGGGUUAGUGGAACUGCGAGUGUAGAGGUGAAAUUCGUAGAUAUUCGCAAGAACACCAGUGGCGAAGGCGGCUGACUGGUCCGGUUCUGACGCUGAGGCGCGAAAGCGUGGGGAG
rnacentral:rRNA from 1 species